rnacentral:tRNA from 1 species
GCCGCCGUGGCCUACUGGUUAGCGCUUCGGACUUGUAGCCGGAGGGUUGCCGGUUCGAACCCCGACCAGUAGGCA